AACCUCUUCCAAACCCACUUUUCUUAACUUAUUCUCCACUAAAUCUUUUCCUUGUGUUGCUGAAGGUCUUCUCCAAGUCUCAAGAAAGAAAUCUCUAGAGUCCAAUAUGUAGAUCAUGGUGAAGAAUUUUUCGAUAGUCGGCUAGACGUCACAUCUUAGAAAAUCACUGGACUACUUGUAAUGACAGUAUUUUUAUUUCUCCAUCUUUUAUAUUUUUUUUUAUUAUGU
rnacentral:lncRNA from 1 species